rnacentral:rRNA from 1 species
GACGAACGCUGGCGGCGUGCUUAACACAUGCAAGUCGAACGGAAAGGCCCUGCUUGCAGGGUACUCGAGUGGCGAACGGGUGAGUAACACGUGGGUGAUCUGCCCUGCACUUCGGGAUAAGCCUGGGAAACUGGGUCUAAUACCGGAUAGGAGCCAUUUUUAGUGUGAUGGUUGGAAAGUUUUUUCGGUGUAGGAUGAGCUCGCGGCCUAUCAGCUUGUUGGUGGGGUAAUGGCCUACCAAGGCGGCGACGGGUAGCCGGCCUGAGAGGGUGGACGGCCACAUUGGGACUGAGAUACGGCCCAGACUCCUACGGGAGGGAGCAGUGGGGAAUAUUGCACAAUGGGCGCAAGCCUGAUGCAGGGACGCCGCGUGGGGGAUGACGGCCUUCGGGUUGUAAACUCCUUUCGCUAGGGACGAAGCUUUUUGUGACGGUACCUAGAUAAGAAGCACCGGCUAACUACGUG